CCAGGAUCGAGUUCCACAUCGGGCUCCCGGUGCAUGGAGCCUGCUUCUCCCUCUGCCUGUGUCUCUGCCUCUCUCUCUCUCUCUCUCUCUCUGUGACUAUCAUAAAUAAAUAAAAAUUUAAAAAAAAAAAAAAAAAGAUAAAGCUCCUAGACAUAUCAAUGUUUAUCAUAGAGUUUGGUUCAAAGCAAGUACUCAAUAAAGGUACUGAAUUAAUGAAUAUUCAGAGAGUAUAUCUUUUACAUUCUAUUAUACAUAAUUACUAUGAACAGAGUCAAAAUUUCUAUCAACAUUAACUAGUGUUUUCUUGGCAUUAACCAGAAUAGGUACUGAUAUUCUUAAGUCUACACUCAGUUCCACAAGUAUUCAUGAAGCAUUUUCUACAUGCCAUGAUCUGUGCUAGCUGCUCGAAACUCCAUCUUUGUUCUCUAGAUAUUGCCAGAAAAUUCUAAUACGACAGAGUACAAAACUGGAUGAUGCCAUUAGGUAAGUCACCGAAGGGCAAAAGAAGCCUCGUACGCUAAAUCAAAUCUUAAAUAAUAAUAAAGAAACAAGUACAGAUAGGUGAAAUGCAUUCUUCUUGAAAGCAUACCUUGAGCAAAGGCCUGGAGGUGAGAAAAAACAUAUACAUGUGGUAGACCUAAAAAUGGUUUUCAGCUUAGUAUUGAAGAAAAUAUUAAAUACUAAAGAGAGGAGGUAGUGAGAGAUGAGGCUUCAUCAUGAGAUGAACAUAAAUUAUUCACCUAUUAAACAUAUGGCAUUUAAGACAAACAAAUGUCUAUAAAUAUAACCAAUGGAAAUAAUGCUGCACGUCUCUUGCUCCCUCCCCCCCGAAGCUUUAACAAUAGAGCAUGCUUACUUUUGGAACAUACAAAUAACAGAUAUGCUUUAGCAACCACAUAUCAAUUAAACGCUAAGUUCAUGUUUUCAGCUUUGCUUUGUAUACAUUCCAGGCAAUGAGCACACAUAAACAAUCUUCUUACUUUUAAGAAAAACUCCCACAAGAUGAGCACUGGGUAUUAUAUGUAAGUGAUGAGUCACUAACUUCUACACCUAAAACCAAUUUUACCAUGUGUUAACUAGAAUUUAAAUAAAAACUCUACAUUUAAAUAAAUAAAUAAAUAAAAAUUCUAAAAAAAAAAAAAUCCCCUCACACAAGGCUCAGAGUUCACAGUGUUUUCUACUGAAAAAUCCACAAGAAUUCAAAUUUAGCAUAUUAUGACAUUGUUAUUCCCCUACCUUCCAUGCCAUCUCUGGCUUAUCUAACAGUCAUUAACUUUAACAUAUUCAACUUUGAAAAAAUUCAUUUUAUUACAUUAUACUGUGAUAUUACAAUAUUACUUUCCUUUCUUCAGAUUGGUUUUCCCUACAUUUUUUGUUGAAUGAUGAUUUCAAAUGCUCAUGACCUUGCUUCAGAAUUGUUACUAUUAAAGGAAACAGACUGGUUUCAACCAUGGGACAGAGAACGUUCACAGGCUAGGAAAACACAGGAGCACCUCACAAAUUCAUAGGUUUGCCCUUUUCAACUGUUAGUUAGAACCUCUGGUCCACACAGCUUACUGGUUCCAGCUUCUUCCAAUCUUAAAGAUAUUCUCACAUCACCUAACUCCCCCUCCUGCUUUAAUAAUACUGGGAAGGGAUGCCUGGGUGGCUCAGCAGAUGAGCGUCUGCCUUGGACUCAGGGUGUGAUCCCCUCCGGGGACGGACUCCUGCAUCAGGCUCCCUGGAAGGAGCCUGCUUCUCCCCCUGUCUAUGUCUCUCCCUCUCUCUGUGUCUCUUAUGAAUAAAAUCUUAAAAAAUAAUAAUAAUGCUGGGAAAUACUAGACUAUCAGGAAAGAGGAAAGCCUCAUCCUCGAGGCCUAAAUGGCUGGAAGGAGGCCUUUUUACACCCUUCUUGGUAUAUAUUCCAGAGGUGGGCAAAGAUAUUUUACACUUUCUCUAUUCUUGCUCCAAGCAGGUAGGACUUAUAUAUGUAAAAAUCUAGGGAUGAGAUUGGGCGCUAUCUAGCCCCAAAUCUUCCUUUUGGAAAGUGGCGAUGCCUUAAAUUUAUUGUCUCAGAUGGUGUCUGUGCAGCUCUACCUCUGCUAAAACUCCAAAGCAGUGAAGAAUCUCUCACCUGCCUACUGGGUUUUGGGGCCUGAAGAAAGUAAGACAAGAUGAACCAUAAUAUUAGGUAUCAGGAAGUGACCAUAAGGGAUAAUUUCAGCUCUCAAGUAGGUUAUCAGAAAUACAUAGUAUAAAAGUAGUGAGCUACGUGUAAAUAUGAAUUGCUGUCAAUAUUCCAGGUAUUCGGUUUUUCAUACAUCAAUUACUAAAGGAGUAAAAGAAAGAAAGAGGGGGAAAGAAGGAAGCAAGAGGGAUGGAAAAUUAGAAAAAUUGGCUAAUAUAAAUAGCCUCUAAUCAUUUGUAGUAUUACCUAAAAAUUAUAGCUCAUUUAAUAGGUUUGUCAUUAAGUGAGAGAAGGAAAGUGAGUUCAGUUAUAAGGCUUGAUGGGCUCUAUGUAAAAUUGCUGGGACUAGUGGGGGCUGGGCACGUUAGCUAUCAUCAGAGAAAGGUGAGUAUCAACCAAUUAGAUACUAAUUUGUGACAACCAAAUUAGUAUUAAGGGGUUAGGAAAAAAAUGUAGAUUUGAUCCAAGGUAGCAACAAUUUCCAAAUGAUCUUUUCUGAUAGGAGGAGCAAUAUGAAAGGAAUCUUUGUGUAGUGGUGACAUCUGAAGACAAUCGGUAGGAGCAGUAAGUUUCCUCAAUAUCUACUCUAUAUAAAGCAGAGCCAGAAGCAUAAGGAUUCUGCUGGGCAAAGGGGCUGCAGAUCCAUCGGAUCUCAAGAACAGGAUGUUUACUAGUACUAAGGAAGUUAUCAAGUCAGUCUGAGCAAACAGGAUGGCAAUGGUGGGGGAUCGCUAUAUAGCCUGUUGAUACUGGAUACCUAUGGGGUCAACCUAGCAUCUGGAUACUGAGCUUAAGCCAGAAAGAUCAAUGUCCAUGAAAGAAUGAGAUCAUUAGUAUUGUGGUUCAAUAUCUGGGUUAGGUAGAGAUGUGGGUAAAAAGUCUAAAAUAUUGAUAAAUAAAAAGUAGCAAUAUUAUAAUUGAUAUAUUCAUGGGUUUUUCAGGAUGUGUAAACUGUAUGGGUGGCAAAAGCUGCCAUGAGAGAGGCCUCUAUCAAGAUCUACAAUUUUUUAAAAUAAGUGAGCCCUUGCUCACACAUAGACAGUGUUGUCCAAAAUAUACAUUAGCACAGGAGUCAGCAAAUUAAGCCCAUCAUCUGUUUUUGUUAAACAAACAAACACAAACCACUUUGUACUGGAACACAGGCAUGUCUUAUUCAUUUGUGUAUUGUCAAUGGCUGGUUUCACACUACAAAAGCAAUGUUGAAUCUGGCUCAUAAAGCAGAAAGCAGGAGAGCCCUGGUGGCCCGGUUUAGCGCCGCCUUAAGCCUGGGGUAUGGUCCUGGAGACCCGGGGUGGAGUCCCACGUCUGGUUCCCUGCAUGGAGCCUGCUUCUCCCUCUGCCUGUGUCUCUGCCUCUCUCUCUCUCAAUCUGUAUGUCUCUCAUGAAUAAAUAAAAAAAAUCUUAAAAAAAAAAAAAA
rnacentral:lncRNA from 1 species